GAAAUACACACAACACAGUGAUUGUGAAUGAGUCACUCAAAGUGUGAAAAGGUGAUAGUCAGAGUGAGACUACACAUGAAUUAUUCAGGAAAUGCACACUCAGUGAGAGAAUAACUAUAAUUCAGUGUCACUAGGAGAUAUAACUUGAAGAUGAUGUGUCUUCAUUUAUGAUUCAUUUUGAACAGUGAUGAAUGUGGAAGUAAAUGAGACUUUCUGAUCCCUCCACAGACUCUGCUUUGUCUUUCUACUGAGAGUUGACAACAUUAAAUAUCCACAAAGUGAGGCCAACUCCUGCACUGUGUCGUGGCUGUGUGAGCAGGCAGCUCAGCGUUACUACCAGAAAUGUGGCCUCCUGCCUCGUCUCUCUCUGCAGAAAGAAGGCGCCCUGCUCUCCCCGCAGGACCAGCCGCUGGCCGUCCUGCACACAAAUGAAGAGGUGCUGGUCACUGGUGGAGAGAAGCAGGUGAUGCUGGAGUCAUU